CUACCAUGCAGUCGACGGAAGGCCCUGCUUUUGUGGGGUGCUCGAGUGGCGAACGGGUGAGUAACACGUGAGUAACCUGCCCUUGACUUUGGGAUAACUUCAGGAAACUGGGGCUAAUACCGGAUAGGAGCUCCUGCUGCAUGGUGGGGGUUGGAAAGUUUCGGCGGUUGGGGAUGGACUCGCGGCUUAUCAGCUUGUUGGUGGGGUAGUGGCUUACCAAGGCUUUGACGGGUAGCCGGCCUGAGAGGGUGACCGGCCACAUUGGGACUGAGAUACGGCCCACACUCCUACGGGAGGCAGCAGUGGGGAAUAUUGCACAAUGGGCGGAAGCCUGAUGCAGCAACGCCGCGUGCGGGAUGACGGCCUUCGGGUUGUAAACCGCUUUCGCCUGUGACAAAGCGUGAGUGACGGUAAUGGGUAAAGAAGCACCGGCAAACUACGUGCCAGC
rnacentral:rRNA from 1 species